rnacentral:rRNA from 1 species
GGUGAACGCUGGCGGCGUGCUUAAGACAUGCAAGUCGAACGCAGUCUUCGGACUGAGUGGCGCACGGGUGAGUAACACGUAACUGACCUACCCCCAAGUCGCGAAUAACCAGCCGAAAGGAUGGCUAAUACGUGAUGUGAUGAUCCGCUGUGGCGGAUCAUUAAAGACUUGAUCGCUUGGGGAUGGGGUUGCGGUCCAUCAGCUAGUUGGUAAGGUAAAGGCUUACCAAGGCAACGACGGAUAGCCGGCCUGAGAGGGUGGCCGGCCACAGGGGCACUGGGACACGGGUCCCACUCCUACGGGAGGCAGCAGUUAGGAAUCUUCCACAAUGGGCGCAAGCCUGAUGGAGCGACGCCGCGUGAGGGAUGAAGGUUCUCGGAUCGUAAACCUCUGAACCAACGACGAAAGACCCGACAAGGGAGAUGACGGUAGUUGGGUAAUAGCACCGGCUAACUCCGUGCCAGCCGCCGCUGUAACAC